UACAGAGGUCCCAAGCGUUGCUCGGAUUCACUGGGCGUAAAGGGUGCGUAGGCGGUUGGGUAAGUCUGACGUGAAAGCCCGCAGCUCAACUGCGGAACUGCGUCGGAUACUAGUCGGCUUGAGGAAUGGAGGGGAGACUGGAAUUCUCGGUGUAGCAGUGAAAUGCGUAGAUAUCGAGAGGAACACCAGUGGCGAAGGCGAGUAUCUGGACAAUUCCUGACGCUGAGGCACGAAAGCUAGGGGAGCAAACAGG
rnacentral:rRNA from 1 species